AGGUGUUCUAAAGUAUAAAGUGGGGACUGUGGCUUUUGGACUUUUAUGUCUACUGCUGAGCGGUCUCAUCGUUUAUCUUGCUUUUUUUUCAGAGCAUAACUCCACAACUGAGGAGAGAGAUGGGCAGAAGAAUUUUAGCUGUGUUAAUGAGACCAGUCUGAAAAAUGCGAUAGAGGAGAACGUAGAGCUGAAGAGGGACCUGAAUAACAUUACUUCACAGCUCAAUUCCGUCACUGUACAAAGAGAAGAAUGGAAGGAGAUCAAAUUUGGUUAUGAUGCCAGUCUGAAAAGUCUGACUGCAGAGAGAGGUGAGCUGAUUAGAACCAUCAGCAUUGUUGAGGCCAAUAAUACAAAUCUGACUGAAGACAGAGAUGAGCUGAGAAAUGACAUCCAGAACUAUACUUUACAGAUUAAAUCCCUGACCGAAGAAAGAGA